AAAAAGAAGGUCGUCUAGGAGAAGACAGUGUAAGAUUCAAAGCACGAGUGGUAGCAAAAGGAUAUGCACAAAAGGAUAUGCACAAAAGGAAGGUAUUGAUUAUAAUGAAGUAUUUUCUCAUGUUGUGAAGCAUUCAUCUAUUUGUAUUAUGUUAGCCUUUGUUGCACAAUUUAAUCUUGAACUAGUGUUAAGACAACUGUCUUACAUGGAAAUCUUGAUGAAGAAAUUUACAUGUCUCAGCCUAAUGGGUAUCAGGUAACUGGAAAAGAGAAAUGGGUUUGUAAAUUGAAUAAGUCUUUAUAUGGAUUGAAGCAAUCUCCAAGACAGUGGUAUUUGAAGUUUGACGAAUUCAUGAGAGGUCAACACUAUUUAAGAAGUCAAUAUGAUCAUUACGUUUAUUUCAAAAAGUUGCAAGAUGGAUCUUUCAUUUAUUUAUUAUUGUAUGUUGAUGAUAUGUUUGCAUCGAAGAAUGUUAAGGAGAUUGAAAAGUUGAAAGCACAGAUGAAGAACAAGUUUGAGAUGAAAGAUCUUGGUGAAGCGAAAAAGGUACUCGGUAUGGAAAUUACUCGUAACCGAGAAAAAGGCUUGGUGUAUCUUACACAAAAGCAAUAUUUGUGUAAAUUGCUUCAAUGUUUUGGUAUUAAUGAUGCCACCAAACCUGUAAGUACUCUAAUGGCUCUUCACUUUAAGUUGAGCGCUUUGUUAUCUCUAAAAAACAAUGAAGAGAAGCUGCAGAUGAAGAAUAUUCCAUAUUCUAAUUUGGUUGGUGGCUUGAUGUAUACUAUGGUAUGUUCUCGACCAGAUAUUGCUCAUGUUGGUGGUUUGGUUAGUCGUUAUAUGCACAAUCCAGGAAAAGAACAUUGGCAAACAACUAAGUGGAUUCUAAGAUACCUACAUGGGACUAGAGAUGUCGACUUAUGUUUUCAGCGAAGUGAUAGUAGUUUUGAGAAUUUUGUGGUUGAAUAUGUUGAUUCUGACUGUGCUGGAGAUUUGGAUAAAAAAAGAUCGACCACUGGCUACGUAUUUACCAUGGCCAAAGGGCCAGUUAGUUGGAGGUCCACAUUACAAUCCACAGUUGCUUUGUCAAUAACGGAGGUUGAAUAUAUGGCUAUUGAAGAAGCUGUAAAGGAGGCCAUUUGGAUACAUGGAUUGAUAAAAAAUCUAGGAAUUUAUCAAAAGUAGGUGGAGCUACAUUGUGAUAGUCAAAUUUCUAUUCACUUGUCAAAAUUCCAAGUUUAUCAUUCGGGGACAAAGCAUAUCGAUGUUCGGUUUCAUUUUAUUCGUGAGAUUUUUUUCCAAAAGAAAGAUUAUUCUUCAGAAAGUUCCAACUGUGGACAAUCCAUCUGAUAUGUUAACUAAAGUGCUCAGACCUACCAAGUUUGAGCAUUGUGUGAACAUAGCUCAUAUACUAUGUGCCUGAAUAUAUUUGUGAUUACGAAUCUCACCAAGGUGGAGAUUGUUGACAUGUGGCUCGAUAUAAAUCUUGGUCAAUUACUUUGUAUUGGUUAUCCUUGUUUUUCUCUCCAUCACAAACUUGUUUAUGGCUUUAUGUAUUAGAAGGCAAACCAUUUGUUUUGUAAUAAAAGGAGCUCAUGUAGAAAUAAUUUAUGUGAGCCAAUUUGUGAGAUUGUUCUUUGUACAUUUCUUAUCUCAAUCAUUGAAUAAAUUGAGAGUUAUUUCUUUCAUUUUACUUGUUCCAUUUGGUGCUCAAGCACAACAAUUCAUUCAUCCAUUCUUAGUGCAAAAUAAAAAGUUCAUGAGAGAGUUUACUGAUCACAGAAACAAAAUCUACCGAAAACUUAUCACUGGUACGGCCUAAAUCCCGGAUUUGGAGACGUUGGAUGAAUCUAACAAAGGUAUGACUAAAAGAUAUCGUAAAGCACAAAGGAAGAAGCAGAUUAAGAAAGAAUAAAGGCUGGGAGUUAGAUGGUGACUUACUAACAUGAAUUCUGAGAUGGUGAGAAUUAGAGCAAUAUCAUUAGCAUUCAUUUAUCUAAAGACACUGGAUAUUCAACCAAGUACAACAAUUCAGAUAUGGUCCGUGUCUCUACAAGUAUCUGUCUCAAUUAAUUGUUCAAAAAAUUCACCAAGCUUCUUCGCUUCAUUAGACAUUGUCGAACUAGACCCAGGGGACGUCUCAGAGCCCAGCCACAUAUAGGCUAACUUGGCAGAUACCAUUUUCAACCUCGGGGCUCAAAUUCCGGUAACCAUUAAGCUGAUCGGAUAAAUCAAUAGUGAGUUGCUUCAUUUAUUAUAAGAUGGUAACUAGUAACAAUGCUUUUUGCUGAUUUGUUCUGUGUAGUUAAAGCUAGCACUUCUAGGUCCACUUGGAGCUGCCUCGUCAUGAUAUUCAUGUGUUCGUUUUAGAAUUUUCAGUGUUUGGUUGAGUUCUUCCAAAUCUUGCUUGUAUACCAAACGAGCCCCACACUUCUUCACCUUAUUCAAGUCUGCUUUUACUUUUACCCCUCCAAUACAACUAAAGUAAGUCUCAAAUAAAAACUGUUCCUGAUGACAAAUUUCACGAGGCAACUGAAAUGCCCAAAGGUGUUCUGACACAAGAGACCCUAUCAUCUUUGAACAAAUCAUAGGGUACAAGGGUUUUGAUAAAAACUCAAAUUUUAAAUUAAUAUGAUAAAAAUGUGCAGCUGGACCUGGAUUGACCAAGUUUUCCUUAGGAACUUGAAAAACAACACAAAAGGCAAUUCCCAGCCAGUUGGUACAUGAUGUGGGAGGAAGCUCCAUAUUUACUGAGUCUCCCACACUUUGAUUACUGAACCACUCCGGAAUUUCGCUUCCAGGGAAUACAACUUGUGGCUUUCGGUAAUAAUCAUGUAACCAAAGAACUAUUAUAUAUAUGUUGUUGGAAAAAAUUAGUAUUUUGGUUUAUUUGAAUGUUUUGUUUUUUAGGCUUAGCCCGUUAGCAUUAGGGUUUUGAUUUCUUACCUUUUAGGAUUAGGAUUAGUUUAUUAUAAAUAACAUACUUGUUAUUUAGUCGAAAACAAGUUAGUCACGAUGUAGUCUCUUGAGAUUUUGUAGCCAUUUCGGUAUUCUUGUUUGUUUAAUAAUAUUUUUAUUAUUUUGUAAUCUUGUUCGUUGCACACUCUGAUUUUCAACUUAUGUAUGUGUGUGUGUGUGUCUAUAUAUAUAUAUAUAUAUAUAUAUAUAUAUAUAUAGAGAGAGAGAGAGAGAGAGAGAGAGAGAGAGAGAGAGAGAGAGAGUACCUUGUUCUGAGUGGCAAAUUUUAGAAUCCUUGAGAGUAUUGUAUUAGUCCAGCCUUCAUCUUGAACCAAUGCAAUGCAAUUCCGGCAAGUGAAACUAAAAUCAUACAAAUUGGUGAAUCUGCUGCUCAACUUGGAUGUAUCUGACAAACUUCGUAAGGAAGUACAAUCGUCUACAUCUACAUGCAAUUUGCCAUUAGAUGGAAGAGGUGGCAAUUUUUGAAGGCUUUUGCAGCUCGACAGACCAAGAUAAUAAAGCUUAGAAAGGCAUCUAAUGCUUUCAGGUAGACUGACGAAAUUAUUUUCACCAAGAUCCAAUUUUUCCAAAAAGGACAAGCAACCAAUAUCAUCGGGGAUAUCCCCUUCACAGAGUUUACAAUCUGUUAGAUUUAUGGUCCUCAAAGUGCAUAAACGAUUUAGAUAAGAAAACAUCAAACCCCAACAAGGAGGAGGACCAGGAGCACUCUUUCCAAGUCCUAAUAUGCGGAGAAGGCCCCACUUGUCCCUUGCUUUAGCAUACGAUCUGCAUAAUAGUAGUUGUUUGAGAUUUUUCAUCCCCAUAAGCGGCUCUGUCAAAGUGGCUUCCAAUCCAAGAGCCUCUAAGUGAUCCAUGUCUCCUGGAAGUUUGUGGAUUUUUGAGCACUUUCCCACAUAGAGGCGUCUAAGAGACUUCAAAUUACAAAUAGCCUCUGGAAGGUUCAAGAGAUUUUUGCAAUUAAAUAGAUUCAAAUCCUUAAGGCCAACCAAAUGUUCAAUUGAUGAUGGCAUUUUCUCAAUUGCAGUCCCGCUUAAGCGAAGCUUGGAUAAGUUCUUCAUCUGCUUCCCAAAUUCUGGAAUCUUUUUCACAUUUGAGCAGCCACUAAGAUAUAAGGAUUCCAGAGAAUCCAUUUCAACCUCACUUGGGAGGCUCUUAAUGCUUUCACACCAUGCAAGGUCUAGAACUUUAAGUUUUUUAAGGACUGCAAUAGAGGGGUGUAUCUCAACUAAAUUCUUACAUUCAAAAAGAUUCAACUCUACAAGUUUUGGAACACCACUGAAAUCUGGGGUACUGAUCAAAUUUUUGGAGAAGCCAAGAUUGAUAUAUUUCAAGUUGGGCAAGUCCUGUACAACACCGAUAAGGUUUAGAUCCUAUACUUAGCUUUUACAACCUUAAAGUUUAUCCAAAAUAAUAAAUAAAUGAUUAUUUUAUAAUUUAUAUAGCAUUUAUUCAAUAUUACUCUUACCAAUUUUCCCUUCCAAAGCCGAACAAGUUUGCUCUUUCGCAUCGCAAGUUGAGUAAGCAAAUGCGGGUGAAAGCUGGUUGGAAGAAACUUGGAAGGAUAGAAACUCCAGUUUAUAAUUCUCAAGGAACAUGGAAGAAAUUUAGGACCUGAAGAAAUGAUCAAAUUAUUGAAUUCCAGAAACCUCAGUUCAUGCAUAUUAGAGAAGGCUUCCGAAUUCCAGUGCACCUCUUUUGAUUCGGGUAACCGUAAGACUAUGCCUUCAAUAGCACGUGUCCCCUAAUAACCAAGAAGGUAGGAAACGUCAAUUUCACAUACUAAUAUUAUGUUAAUAGAAAUCAUAUCCUUUUUUGAACUUGGUAUUUACAUAAUUUCUUACCGUAUUGGUCAUGAAUACAUGAAAAAUGUCAUUGGGAAUCCACAACCUACUACGUAGACCAGGCUCUUCAGACUCUUGACGAACAAUUGUCCAUGCCAUUUGUUGUAUCAAAUCAUGCAUCCCUAUCAUGUUUCCGUAAUCAUUGUAUAGAAGAGAUCUCUCAAUUAGCAAAUCUAUUAGAAUACAACUAGAAAUUCCAAAAGAAUUGUCUAGUACUUGAAUUACUUGCUUUGUGUACUUCCCUUUGUGGAAACAUGCAACAUCAAGGAAAAUUCUCUUCUCCAUCAACCGGAGUCCAUCAUAACUAACUUUGAGCGAAUAAAAAAUUGUUUGAUUGGGAAUUUUAUGUAGAUUAUCCAACUCACUAUUCCAUGCAUCUCGCCCUCUCGUAUACAAAAAAGACCCUAAAACUUUAAGAACUAAUGGAAGUCCUCUGGCAUAGUUUAGGAAACGCUCAGAGAGUUCCAAAAAGUCUUCCUCGGGUUGGUCUUUUUUGAAGGCAUUCAAGCUAAAGAGCUCAAGAGCUUCUCCAUAAUUCAAUCCCUCAACCUUAUAUGAUGUUGCUAUACCAUUCUGGACGAGCAGACCUUCAUUUCUUGUUGUAAUGAUAAUUCUACUCCCCAUACCAAACCAACUUUGAUUCCCAGCCAGUACUUCUAGUUGGUUUAAUUCAUCCACAUCAUCAAGUACGAGAAGAACCUUCUUAUUGCACAAGCACUUCUUACUGUAAAUUCUUCCCCACUCUUCAUCCCAAAUUUCUUCAAUCUUUUCCUUCAAGAUUGGGAAAAGAAGUUGUUUUUGAAGGCCAACAACAGUAUGAUCUCUUGCACAAACCUCUCUAACAUUGGCAAGAAAACAGUGAACUUCAAAACGAUGGAAGAUUUUGUCAAAAACUAGCUUAGCAAGGGUUGUCUUGCCUAUGCCACCCAUCCCAGUUAUCCCAAUAAAGUGAACAUCAUUUGCAUCAAGAGCUAAUAGCAUAGUUAGUUGCUCGAGCGCGGAAUCAAUUCCGACUAACUUCUGUGAGGAAUCUGACAAAGUGAUUGUAGCUUGCACCUUCCUCCACACACAUUUGGCGAUGUCAUCAAUCAGCUCUCUUUCACACCUGCAAAGAAGAAAAAUAGAAUAACAAAAAAGAGAACAUAAGUAAGCAAUCAAGUAUGGAUGACUAUAUUAAGACAUGGGCAAGUUGUUCAUGCUUGCUUACUUAAAAUUCUUCAAAUCCCACCCAGAAAUUUUCGACACUGUUUUUAAAGCAGCUUUCCACUGAGUCACCUUCAUUUUGUCUUCAGUGCUAGUCAACUUUCCUUCAUGCUUGGCGAAGGCUUCGGCAAAUCUCCCCCUCUGAUUUCCUACGUCAGAGGGAUCCACACCAUAAAAGACUGGGAGAAUUGAGUUCCUGGCUUCCAUGCACUGAAUAAUGUUUGUAAGCUCAGUCAAGCACCAUUUGGAAGAAGCAUAGUUUGGCGAGAGAACAACAAUUGCAGUAUGUGAUUCUUUGAUCGCACUCGGGAGCUCCAGAGGAAUACUUGUUCCACCUGCAAGCUCUCGGUCGUCCAUGAAAGUCAUAAUUCCUUGGCACUUGCACAAUUCGUGGUAUAGAUGGGAGACAAAACCCUUGCGGGUGUCUACACCUCUGAAACUCAGAAACACGUCGUACUUCCAUUGAGGAGCUGAUUCAGAUGAAAGAAGAGAUACAGAGGCCCUUUGCGUGCUCAACGCCAUUGCAAAGUGGCUCCUCACAAUCUGAGAGGAAUGGUAAUUGUCAGCAGAAAACCACUCACACCAAAGUAGGAACGGAUGAUGAAAGAGGGUUUAUCUUCUUUUUUUUUUGUCUCUUUCGCCAAUGGUCUUCGUUCUCUCUAUUUAAUUAUUUGGAUGAUCAAACAAUAUUUAAGUAUUAUAUUACAUUAUCAAGACAUUAAAACAGGAAAGUGAUCAUCUCCAAAUCUCUUCCACCAAGAUCACUGGCUCAUUUGAUCUAGGCAUUUCAAAUAUCAUCCAACGGCUCAUUUAUUUUGAUUCCUUAAAAAUUGUGAUAAAUUUUUGUUGUUGGAUGGAAUUUGAAAGGCUCAGAUCACUUGAUCCAGUGACUUUGAUGGAAGAAAUCCGGAGAUGAUCUCUUUACAUUAAAGUAAACAAAAGAUUAACUAUUUGAUCAUUGAGAACUAAAGCAUCUCAGCACGUGAAAGGAGACUUGACUUCAUAAGUUGACAAUUAAAACUGGAAAAAUAAUGAAAAGACAAAAGUUGACAAUUAAAAACGUGUGAAAUGAGACUUAACUUAAUAGCUAUGAAAUUUCAGGAAAGCAUAAUCUCAACGCCUUGCAAAAAUUCUUGAGAAACUGAAGUAUAGUUUGAAUAAAAUUUCAAGGAAGCUCACUCUUAAUGCGUUGUGAAAAAUCUUUUGAAGUAACAAAAAUAAUUAAAUAAUCAUGUAACAAGUGCAUGUUCGUGAAUGGAAGUCCAGAUAUAUAUUGAAGCAUACUCGAAUACUUUCUGAAUAAACCAGACAAAAUUGCAGGCAUCAUCCGUAUACCAAGAACCAUCAUCCGAAGAUUCACAAUUCUCAUCAAAUAGUUUAACUGAGACAUGUGCUGAUACUUUUGGUGCAGUCAUAUAUAAAGGGUGAAAUGUCGAUUUAAUUCCUAAACUAUCACUUUAGUUAAACUCAAAAACACGUCAUAUUAAAUUGAGGAGUUGAUUCAGAUGAAAGAAAAGAUGCAGAUGCCCUUUGCGUGCUCAACGCCAUUGCAAAGUGGUUCCUCACAAUCUGAGAGGAAUGGUAAUUGUGGGCAGAAUAUCACUCACACCAAAGUAGGAACAGAUGAUGAAGAGAGGUUUUAUUUUUUAAUUUUUUAUAAUUUUUAAUUUUGGUCUCUUUCGUCAAUGGUCUUUGUUCUCUCUCGUUAAUUAUUUGGAUGAUCAAACAAUAUUUAAUUAUAUUAAGUUACAUUAUCAAGACGUUAACGUAAACAAAAGAUUAAUUAUUUGAUCAUUGAGAACUAAAGCAUCUCACCAACUCUAAAUAAAUAAAUACACAGUUGUAUGUGGAGCCAAAACAAAGAACUGGAAAAAAUAUGGGAGGACAAAACUUCACGACUAAAAACAUGUGAAAUGAGACUUGACUUAAUGGUUACGAAAUUUCAGGAAAGCACACUUUCAAUGUGUUGUGAAAAUUCUCGAGAAAUUAAAGUAUAGUUUGAAUGAAAUUUCAAGGGAGCUCACGCUCGACGUGUUGUGAGGAGUCUUUCUAAGUAACAAAAAUAAUUAAAUAGUCAUGUAACAAGUGCAUGUUCGUGAAUGAAAGUCCAGGUAUAAGUUGAAGCAUACUCUUAAAUUUUUCGAAUAAAGCAGACAAAAUUGCAAGCAUCAUCCGUAUACCAAGAACCAUCAUCGGAAGAUUCACAAUUCCAAGGUUGUAAAAGACGCUAGACGCUAAUUGGGCGAUGGACUGGGACCUAGCGCCUAGGCGAUUAGGCGGACUAGGUGGAUUUAUGUAAAUCUAUUAUAUUUCACGUAAAUAAGUGUCAGUUUAUACUUAAAAUAUAAACAAUUUCAUUAUAAAUUACAAAAUAAAAUUAUAUUUAUAUACAGGCCCUUUAAAAAAAAUAAUGGGGACACCCUAUUGACCAUUAGAUUUGGCUUUAAUGAAAUUAUGUGGUUGAGAUUAAAUCACAGGCCACAGAAUUUCAUUAAAGCCAAAUCUAACGGUCAAGAAGGUGUCCCUAUUUUUUUUGAAAAAUGGGAAUCCGUUCCCUUAAAGGCUUCAGAUAUAUAUAUAUAUAUAUAUAUAUAUGAAAACAUACGGAACAAACAUAUAAUAUGUGUUCAUUUAAGUUUACAACAAGUCUUUUGCAAUUUAUUGAAAAAAAUCAAAUGCAAAAUGAAAAUGAUCUAUUUUUUGUCUAAAUGAGUUGCAACCUAGGCGGGUGCCUAAGCGGUCUAGGAGGGCGCCUUAGCAGGUGUAGGUACCAUUUCUUAAUUCUCAAACACCUAGGCAUGAGGUUGUGACUAGCUGCUUAGUCCCUAGGUGGGGCCUAAAUGGAGCUAGGCAAAGAUUUUUAAAACAGUGCACAAUUCUCAUCUGCUUAGUCCCUAGGUGGGGCCUAAAUGGAGCUAGGCAAAGAUUUUUAAAACAGUGCACAAUUCUCAUCAAAUAGUUUAACUGAGACUUAUGCUAAUACUUUUGGUGCAGUCAUAUAUAAGAAAUGUUUCGACUCCUUCAUGCUGUAGCAAAAUUCUCACGACAAAUAUAACCAAUUUGAGUUCCCACAGUCCAUAAAGAAAGCAAAUAUCUCAAAUAAAAAGCAACUAAGCAACCUAUUUUGAAUCCAUUAACCGGAGUGUUUGAUGAUAGAACGUUCCACUUAUGGGUAUGUGUAUACCCGUUUAUGCAAUUACGCAAUAGACAAACGGUUAUACGAGGUAAGAGCUUAAAUGGUUAUGAAUAAAUAACUGCAGUUACUCUCCCGCCAUAACCACUGCUCAUCUAUACCUUAUAAUUUGAUGAGUAAUUUUAAGAGAGUGUAACUUUUUUUUCCCCACCAUUUUUAAACAUGUAGAGAAACAUCAAGGUGAUGGAAGGCAAUCAUUGAAGAUGGGUGGUGGCUUGCUGCUGCUUUCUCUAAAGGAAAAAGCAAGGGGACUACAUUUAGUAGAUCACUUCUAAACUACCUCUUUAAUAGAAGUGGACUAUAUGUCUAUUAGAGAGGUGUUUAGAUGCGGUUUACCAAAUGGGAUCUCUUUAGUAUCACUAAUCUCAAAAGUUAACACUAGAGGUGUAUUGUUCUUGUUGAGUCAUUACAAAUUAUUAUAUUCAAAGGGUGUUGUUUGUACCAUACUUGACCAAUCCCGAAACUAUUGAGCACCAGUCAACGUUAUACCAUCAAGGACCCAGAAGAGUUUCCCUCCAACCAGAAGGCCAAUCACAGCGCGACACGUGUCGACAUCAGAAGCCAAUCAUAGCGCGACACGUGUCAACAUCAGAAGCCAAUCACAACACGACAUGUGUCAAUGUCAGAAUGAAACUAGAAACUCUCUUCUAUAAAUAGAGAUCAUUCUCUCACAAUAUUUCCUAAUGUCAUUUGUACUAAAUCAUUCACUAGUACUCACUAAAGGAGAGCUUGAACCUAUGUAUGUGUAAACCCUUCACAAUUAAUGAGAACUCCUCUACUCCGUGGACGUAGCCAAUCUGGGUGAACCACGUACAUCUUGUGUUUGCUUCCCUGUCCCUAUCCAUUUACAUACUUAUCCACAUUAGUGACUGGAGCAAUCUAACGAAGGUCACAAACUUAACACUUUCUAUUGUACCAAAGUCCUCAUUGAUUUUGUGCAUCAACAUUUGGCGCCGUCUAUGGGAACGACACUUAUUCCCACUCUUUUCAGCUUUGUUAAGCUAGUUUCCACCAUUCGUACACUCUCUUUUGACCAGGCAUCCUUUUCCAACAUUGGGAGCGAAGGAAGCCACAGUACACCGAAUGACACCCUUCUUGCACCUGGUGUGAAGCAACGAAAGAAGGAACAAAAGAAGUUUGCUCUUCAGGCUAAAGUCGAUGAGCUGGAAGCUCAGAACAACAAGAUAGCGAUGAAGAAUGAGAUCCUCCAAGAGUAGUAUGAGAAGGUCUUCAAGAUUCUCCACGAGGUUAGAUAUACUAAAACACACUAGCUUAUCACCCCUGUGGAAGUCAACCAUCAACUGGGUGCCCCCCAACACGGAGGGUCAUUUGCCCUCGACAUGGGUAUUCAUGUUGAGGAGCGAGCUACUCAUCGAAAUGUCGACCAACAUAAGACUUCUCUCAACCCAGCUGCUUCGACCCGAAGCAGAAUGAGUGGAGGAAGACACCUCCUUACGAAAGGAAUGAAAGGAUCGAAAGCCGUCUUUCGUGACUGUUGAGACUUCCUAAAGCAACGUCGAGACAAUACCAUCUAUGUAAGCUCGAAGAUCAAUGACCCAAGGGUCUUUGAAAGACUCGGUCCCCUUCCAUGUCCCAGGCUGGCUACCAAUUUGGGGAAGGGGCAACAAGUCCUAGAGAAACAUGAAGGUAUAGGGGACUCAGAGAUGUUCCGACAGACAUACCUUGGAAGUCAGUACGGCGAGUCCAAGGAAAAAUCACAUGCUCUUGAUCAAACCUUCCUACUUCCAAUAGGAGAUGGAGAUUUACGAAAGAAAGCUCCAACGGUACAUGACUCUACUUAGGACCCUCUUGUCUUACAGCUUCUUAAGGAAGUAAACAAGCUGAAGGCCAAACAACAAGCUGAGAUACGUGAUUGGAACCAACCUAGGCCUGGCUGUCUUACAAGGAGAAUUCUCGACACCUCCCUCUAAGGAAAGACAAAGCAGAAGCUUGGCUUGCAACUCUAUACUGGAAAGGAGGACCCGAUUGAACACCUUAACCUCUUUGAGUCCACCAUGGUAUACCAACGAAGAGCGAUGUCUUCUUUUCCCUUCCACCCUCUCUGGCAGAGCUCUAAACUGGUAUUGUCGUCUUCCACCUGAGACGGUAGACUCAUUUGAGGAAUUGAGAAAACUGUUUGUUUCUCAACACAUUUUCCAGACCGAUCGCUUGCACUCUGCGGAUGACUUGUACACCAUACGCCAGAAGCCAGACUAGUCAUUACGUACGUAUGCUAGCCGCUUCAGCCAUGAGUAUUCCCGUUGUGCCAAGACAAACGACAAGACUGUCCUCAAAGCCUUCACGGUAGGCCUACGUGACUGUUUCUUUAAGUACUUGAUCAAUGCCAACACUUGGAAGACUUACUCUGAGGUGAUGGCGCAUGCUUAUAACCAUUCAUCUUCCGAGGCAAGGACAUACCAAGAGAAACCCCCAACAACCAUCCCCUAUCAGCAAGUGGGAAGUGGAAACCAGACCCAUCCAAAUGAGAAGACCUCAACCUUCUUUCACGGCAGCUGUGCCUCCCCCUGCCUUACUUGAUACUUUGCCAAGUCAACAGACAUAUCAAUCUCAGGGCAAAAGGAAAGAUUUCCAUCCUCACUAGUCUCAUUUUAGUAAAAGGAGCAAGGGACACUACCGCGAUAAUCAAGGGUAUCGCCACGAUAAUCUUCGAUCCCAGGCAGUCAACACAGUGGGUCAAGCACGUGUUUGGACAGGCCCUACCCCGAGGUAUAAGGCAUACACACCUUUGAACGCCACAUGUGUGGCCAUUUACCCUAGCAUAUCACACCUGAUACCGAAGCCAAAGCCGAGGCACCCGGAUUACAAGCCCACGAAGAACACGGGCACGUUUUGCUGCUACCAUGAGCAUAACGGCCAUGACAGCGAGAAGUGUAUCACCCUUCGUGAUCAUAUUGAAACUUUGGCACGUGAAGGAAAAAUUGAUCAAUUCCUCCUUCACCCUCCAAAGGGUAACCGUAACCAACGCCAGGUGAAUGUGAUAUAUUCCAUAAGUGGUGGCACACCCAUAUCUAAAUCUUCCAACAAGGCUAUGAAAAACAGUGAACGAGCUUUAAGGCCUGACCACCAAGUGUUUCACGUGGAAGACAUCAGGGGAGGCAAGUAUUAAAAGCCUAACUGGGAUCCAAUAUGUUUCUACUUUGAGGAAGAAAGAGGUAUCAUCUACCAUCACAACGACCCAUUGAUCGUGGAAGCUCACAUAGCUAACCUUGAAGUACGACGAAUCUUGGUAGACACGGGGGCUUCGGUUAAUAUUAUGUUUGCUGAAGCUUUCAGGGCACUUAAUAUAGCUGAACACUUGCUCGAUCGUUCGAUUUCUCCUUUGAUAAGCUUCUCCGGUGAUAUCGUACAACCUUUAAGGAGCAUACACUUACCUUUCACCAUUGGUACAGGCCCUUACACAGUUACCAUUACCACUAACUUCCUGGUGGUUGAUUGCCCAACGGCAUACAAUGUCAUCUUAGGACGCACAGGCAUCAAUGAUCUCAAGGCCAUGGUAUCUACACAUAUGUUGUUGAUGAAAUUUCCAACCCCCUAUGGCAAUGGUUACAUUAGAGGAGAUCAACUUAGUGCACGAUCAUGUUACAACACUUCGAUCAAGCAACAACACCUGCCUGUGCCCAAGGAAACCCUUUCUAUACACGACCAAGUCAUAAAGACCAGCCUAGACUAAGCCAACUUGAAUCUUCACAUUGGCAACACUCAACCCGACGAUCCUCGAGACGAUUCUUUCACCCAGCAAGCACAACAUGAUGAAGAGUUGGAGAAGGUUUCUAUCUCAAAAGAUUAUCCAUAACGCAUGGUGAAGAUUGGCACCACCUUGUCACCACCCAUUCGGUUGGCAUUGAUCUCUUUUUUGUAAGAGAAUAAUGAGGUCUUCGCUUGGUCAUACGAGGACAUGCCAGACAUCUCUCCCAAUAUCAUAUGUCAUCGCUUGAGUAUUGACCUUGAGUAUUGACCCUAAGACCAAGUCGGUGAGACAGAAGCGAAGAUCUUAUAACGUUGAACGAUACGAAACAAUGAAGGCAGAAGUUGAAAAACUUAAAGGCAUAGGCUUCGUCCGUGAAGUCAAUUAUCCAACGUGGGUAGCGAAUGUGUUCCUUGUUAAGAAGAAUCCGACCAAGGAAAGUCUCUUGCUCCAAAACUUCGCCCUUACUUCCAAGCACACUUCAUCAUCGUGCUUACCAAUCAUCCUCUUCGACAGAUACUCCAAAGUCCUGACACUUCAGGACGAAUGAUAAAAUGGGCGAUAACAUUGGGUGAGUUUGACAUCUUCUACCAACCAAAGCAAGCUGAGAAGGCCCAAACAGUGGCAGACUUCAUCGCCGACUUCACAUAUCCUAUUGACAUUGUUUCUACGCCUAAAGAAAUGGUUUCAUUACCCUCGGAAGCUCAAAAAUAGAACCAACAACCCCAACAUGAAGUAUAUAUGUUGAUGGCUCGUCCAACCAACAAGGUUGUGGAGCAGGACUAGUCCUUACGACCCCUGACAAAGUGGCGAUGGAGUAUGCUAUUCGUUUCAAAUUCAAGGCGUCAAACAAUGAGGCUGAAUAUGAAGCCCUCUUAGCAGGCUUACAUUUGGCCAAACACCUUGGGGUUAAACGAAUUGAUAUCUUCAGUGACUCCCAAUUGGUUGUUAACCAAGUCACCAACAACUUUGACGCUAAAGAGCUCCAUGGCAGCAUAUCUGGCACAAACACAAUUGUUGCUCAAGCACUUCCACUACCAGAUCACCCAAAUUAAUCGAGCAGCAAACAGUCAUGCAGAUGCUUUGGCUCGCCUCGCCUCAGCGGUGGAAGACAAGUUUGGGAGAAAAAUUUAGGUCGAAUUGUUGGCAGCACUAAGCACCAUGGUUGCGGAAGUGUGCAACUUACAGCAGGGGGAUAGUUGGAUUACCUCGAUUUAUAGAUUUUUUGCUCAUGACACCCUUCCAAAUGACAAAGUGCAAGCUAAGCAGAUUCGAUACAAGGCUACCCGUUACUUGAUCAUUAAUGACCAACUUUACAAGCGGGGUUUUAACCUACCAUACCUAAGAUGCCUUACACCCGCAGAGGUGGAAACUAUCCUUCGGGAAAUACAUGAAGGAGUCUACGAAGAUCAUGUUGGAUCUCGAUCCCUAGUACACAAGGCUUUUCACCAAGGAUAUUACUGGCCAACACUCCACCAAGAUGCCAUCAGAAUAUCCCGCUCAUGUGAUAAGUGUCAACGCUACGCAACUAUUCCUCACUCCCUCCUGAGCCGCUCACUCCUAUGAUUAGCCAUUGGCCCUUGGCCCAAUGGGAACUUAAUUUGAUUGGCCCAAUGCCUGCAGGGAAGGGCAAGGUUCGCUAUGCAAUUGUUGCAGUUGACUACUUCACAAAGUGGGCCGAAGUAGAACCUUUGGCAACCAUUAUUGAGGCAAAAAUAGAAGACUUCAUAUGGAAGAACAUCCUUUGUAGAUUCGGCAUUCCCAAUGCGAUAGUCACUGACAACGGGCUACAGUUCGAUAACAAUAAGUUCAGGAUGUUCUACUCUAAGUUCAACAUCAACUUAUGUUUUGCCUCCCCAACUUAUCCCCAGUCUAAUGGACAAGUUGAAGCCAUCAACAAAAUAAUCAAGCGAACUUUGAAAACCAGCUUGGACGAGGCUAAAGGUUGUUGGCCAAAAUUUGUACCCCAAGUUCUUUGGUCAUACCGCACUUCGUAUCAGACAUCAACAGGAGAAACCCCAUUCUCACUUACCUUUGGUACAGAGGCAGUUGUCCUAGUUGAGCUUGAGCAAGCAACGUUCCGAGUCCAGAACUACGUGCAAAGCGAAAAUGACAAACAACUUACCUUCAACUUAGAUCUAGUCGAGGAACAUAGAAACCAGGCUCACUUGAGAAAUGUCACCUACAAGCAGCGCAUCUCCAACUACUAUGAUUCAAGGGUCAAACCUCGUUAUUUCAAAGUGGGGGACUGGGUAUUGAAGAAAACAUUUCUCUGCGACAGAGUCCCGAUUAAAGGAACACUUAGUCCAAACUGGGAUGGACCGUUUGAAGUUGUUGGCAUCAGUCGCCUUGGCUCCUACAAGCUAAGAAGCUCCGAUGGCAAGACCCUUGGCCAUCCAUGGAACGCUGAUCACUUGAAGUACUAUUACAAGUAAAGUCACAUUGUACAAGUGUUAAGCUUCAGCUGUUCGGUAUCCUAUGUAACGAAGACUAUUUGGCAUGAAUUCAAUAAAAAGGUGAUUUAGACAACUUGGUCCUAAUCCUCUUACAUUCCUAGUAAUGAAACACUAGGGUUCAAAGUUUCAACAUGAAUGCUUCCAACAUGAAACAAAGUCUAUGUUAACAAGACUAUAUAAAUAUACGAACAGCUUCACAGUAUAUUCGUUCAAUCAUACAUUCCAACACAUUCAUACAUAAGCCAACUGUGCUUCGAAAGGGUUCAACAUACUUUGUGUCAUUCGACACUUGCUACAAUGUGCCUCGACAUCUUGCCUUUAUUCUCACCAACCAGAUGAUGAAAUGUGAAGAAGGAACUCAUCUUCAUGCCACCAACCAGGUGAUGAAAUGUACAACCUGUACUCUCGGUGAUGAAAUGUACAACCCGUACUCUUCUUCAUGCCACCAACCAGGUGAUGAAAUGUACAACCCGUACUCUAAUAUAAUUUGGUAACUUGCCACUCAUGCCACCAACCAGGUGAAGAAUGAACUCAUCUUCAUGCCACCAACCAGGUGAUGAAAUGUACAACCCGCACUCUCCUUUAUGCCACCAACCAGGUGAUGAAAUGUACAACCCGUACUCUAAUAUCAUUUGACAACUUGCCAUUCAUGCCACCAACUAGGUGAUGAAAUGUAUAACCCUUACUCUCCUUUAUGCCACCAACCAGGUGAUGAAAUGUACAACCUGUACUCUCCUUCAUGCCAUCAACCAGGUGAUGAAAUGUACAACCUGUACUCUAAUAUCAUUUGGCAACUUGCCACUCAUGCCACCAACCAGGUGAAGAAUGAACUCAUCUUCAUGCCACCAACCAGGUGAUGAAAUGUACAACCCGUACUCUCAUUUAUGCCACCAACCAGGUGAUGAAAUGUACAACCCGUAUUUUCCUUUAUGCCACCAAUCAAGUGAUGAAAUGUACAACCCGUACUUUAAUAUCAUUUGGCAACUUGCCACUCAUACCACCAACCAGGUGAUGAAAUGUACAACCUGUACUCUCCUUCAUGCCACCAACCAGGUGAAGAAGGAACUCAUCCUCGUGCCACCAACCAAGUGAUGAAAUGUGAUGAAAGGUGAUGAAGGAACUCACCUUCGUACCACCAACCAAGUGAUGAAAGCAACUCACCAUUCAUUCCACCUACCAGAAGACGAGUGGUACAACUUGUACAUGUGAACUCCUAGCAUUCAUAAAUAAUCAAAAACCCUUAAGCUCAACAACUUAACUAGGGGAGCACUUAUGCCCAACAAGAGUUAUAGUCACCAAUAAAGCCUUAUUGCAAGCUAACAACAACUUCAGUGCAUGGCAUACGAAGAUUAAGCUAUUCAGCCCUCUUGCAUCUGCUUCAGACAUUUCCCAUAUGUAACAAUGCAAACACUACAACUCGUAGAAAGCUUCACACAUUCUUGAUCAAGACAGUGUGAAGCAAAACCAAUUUAUGGUGCCAACAAGAGCUUCAUCAAAGGAGUUCAACCACAAUUCUCAAAAGCUUCACACACUCUUGAUCAAGACAAUGUGAAGCAAAACCAAUUUAUGGUGCCAACAAGAGAUUCAUCAAUGGAGGGCAACCACAAUUCUCAAAAGCUUCACACACUCUUGAUCAAGAUAAUGUGAAGCAAAACCAAUUUAUGGUGCCAGCAAGAACUUUAUCAAUGGAGGGCAACCACAAGUCUUAAAAGCUUCACACACACUCUUAAUCAAGACAGUGUGAAGCAAAACCAAUUUAUGGUGCCAACAAGAGCUUCAUCAAUGGAGGGUAACCACAAUUCUCAAAAUCUUCACACACUAUUGAUCAAGACAGUGUGAAGCAAAACCAAUUUAUAGUGCCAACAAGAGCUUUAUCAAUGGAAGGCAACCACAAUUCUCAAAAGCUUCACACACUCUUGAUCAAGACAGUGUGAAGCAAAACCAAUUUAUGAUGGCAACAAAAACUUCAUCAAAGGAGGGCAACUAUAACUCGUAGAAAACUUCACACACUCUUGAUCAAGACUGUUCAAAACAAAUUCAAUUUAUAUGGUUCGUCCAAACCUUCGACUACUACAAGGUGAGGCUUGCAUCACAAUCUCUUGCUCAACAGUGCGGAAGCAAAAUUUGUAUAUGUUGUCUCUCUCACAUUUUCAAAUUUCUAGUUUCCAAAAAAAAAAAUUGGGAAAUUCAACAAAGCUUCAUCAAUGGAGGACAACUACAAAUUCUCAAAAGCUUAAUUCUAUCUUGAUCAAGAUAGUGUGAAGCAAAAUCAAUUCAUGGUACCCAACAAAGCUUCAUCAAUGGAGGACAACUACAAAUUCUCAAAAGCUUCACACUAUCUUGAUCAAGAUAGUGUGAAGCAAAAUCAAUUCAUGGUACCCAACAAAAGCUUCUACUCCAAAGAUUCACCUACAAAGCUUCAACUCCAAAGCUUCACCUACAAAAGCUUCAACACAAAAGCUUCACCUACAAAGCUUCAACUCCAAAGCUUCACCUACAAAGUUUCAACACAAAAGCUUCACCCACAAAAGCUUCACCAACAAACGCUUCACCUACAAAAGCUUCACCAACAAAAGCUUCACCUACAAAAGCUUCACCUACAAAAUCUUCACCCACAAAAGCUUCACCUACAAAAGCUUCACCUACAAAAGCUUCACCCACAAAAACUUCACCCACAAAAGCUUCACCCACAAAAGCUUCACCCACCACAAAAGCUUCACCUACAAAGCUUCACCUACAAAAGCUUCACCAACAAAAGCUUCACCCACAAAAGCUUCACCCACCACAAAAGUUUCACCUACAAAGCUUCACCUACAAAAGCUUCACCCACAAAAGCUUCACCCACCACAAAAGCUUCACCUACAAAGCUUUAACACAAAAGCUUCACCUACAAAAGCUUCACCCACAAAAGCUUCACCCACCACAAAAGCUUCACCUACAAAAGCUUUACACUAUCUUGAUCAAGAUAGUAUGAAGCAAAAUCAAUUCAUGGUACCCAACAAAACUUCAACCUCAAAGCUUCACCUACAAAACUUUAACACCAAAGCUUCACCUACAAAGCUUAAAAUAUAUAUAUAUAUAUAUAUAUAUAUAUAUAUUUUCGAAAAUUCAAAAAUUCGAAAAUUCGAAAAAAAAAUUGCCUAGGCCUCCUCUUCUUUGGGCCUAACAACUUUCAUAACAAAUAUAUAUGAAUGAGGAGUUUUGGGCUACCACUUAGAAAGGAAAUGCCUCAUUCGUCAACUCCCUCGACCGGAGACUUGGGGGACUCCUACCAUAUGCUACUGCACCUUGAUACUCGGAAGUCUCACGACCACUCAGUGACUUGGAUUUUUCAAGUCUCCAACCGAGAAGUUUUUCUCACUCGGGAAAUUAAGGGAGCACUACCUCAACAUACAUGCUUCACUCAUAAAGCUUCAACAUACAAGCUUCAACAAAAGAAAAAAUUCAAAGAAUUUAGUGAAGAAGGCCUUGGUGUAUUUAGCAUAAUACGUUGAAAUGAAGUAAAGCUUGUUUGUUGAUACCUCCGCUAAGUUACAAAUAUGUACAUAUACAUAAAUCAAAAUAAACAAACAAGAGGGAGUAUUCACAAAGGUUGCUCUGGAGAAGUCUUAGCAAUCGGCAGAGUCCCAAAAAGAGAAGGCACCGAAGGGUGAUUAUUCGAAGCCUCAGUAUUGGGCAGAACCCCAAAAGGAGAAGGCAUUGAAGGUUGAUCAUUUGGAACUUCAUUACGCGGUACAGCCCCAGAAGACGAAGGCAAUAAAUGCCUUUGGAACAAACCCACAAACCUCUGAUGAUCAAGUAAAAUCUGACCAUCAGAUUCCUACAGCUAGUCAAGGUUCAUCUUCAUGUUUGUAACGUAGUCAUGUGCGAGUCUGUGCAACUGUUUAUUUUCAUGCUUGAGCCCUCUGAUCUCCUGUUUGAGACUUAUCACUUCAGCCGCCAAUGAUUCAACUUGGCGGGUUCGAGCAAAUAGGCGUUGGGCCAUAUUAGAAAUAGAACCUGCACACUGAACACUGAGAGCCAAAGAAUCCUUAACAGCCAACUCAUCAGACCAUUUGGAAAGUAGUCUGUUAUCUUUGGGUGUGAGAAUGUUCCUUGCCACCACCACAGCUGUCAUAUCAUUCUUUAUCACAGAAUCCCCAACAGUAAUUGGACUAGUAGGGGAUAAGAAGGAUGAGCGCCAUAUAUUGUCUUGAGAGGGCAUGACUGCCUCUUCACCAAAGUUCAAGUCAAAAUGACGGUCGGAUGGGCCAGACAUUCUUAGAAGUAAUGAAGGAGAAAUGAGGUGCAAUAAAUCUUUGAAGUACAAAAAUAAGGAGAAAAUUCUUACAACCAAUAACUCUAUGAACGUACUUCUUGCACACAAUUGGUGCCCCUAUAAAAGAAAGCGCAACAGGGCCAUUGGUUCAAAAAUCGAAGAGGCACCACUCUUCGGAUUUCGAGAAGCAGAUUUUCCUGAGUAAAAUAUGUCGACAAUCCUUACACGGAACAACAGCUCCUCAGGUACCACUGAUAACUUUGCCAAAGAUCUUUGACAAAGUUUAGACACAUAAAUUUUGAAGGUCCAGGUACCCUACUAUUACCCACAAGGGUAAAGGAACAACACCACUACUUGAUAACUGGAAAGUCCAUAUGUGUGUCAACCUCCGUGCUCCAUGGCAAGGCAGACUGGCAAAAAUGCCCAACCUUUACUCACAUUCGAGAAAACACUCCCAACAAGAUUGCUUGCUCAAAAAUUGAAGAGGCACACUCUCCGAAUUUCGAGAGCCAGACUCCUAACAGGAUUACUUGCUCAAAAAUCGAAGAGGCACUGCUCUCCGAAUCUCGAGAGCCAAACUCCCAACAGGAUUACUUGCUCAAAAAUCAAAGAGGCACCGCUAUCCGAAUCUCAAGAGCCAGACUCCCAACAUGAUUGCUUUCUCGAAAAUUGAAGAAGCACCGUUAUCUUAAUCUUGAGAGCCAGAUCCCCGACAGGAUUGCUUGUUCGAAAACCGAAGAGGCACCGCUUUCCGAACUUCGAGAGCUAGAUUUCCUUGGAUAAAGCUUAUCUGCAAUCUUCACACGUAACAUCAGCUUUCCAGAUACCACAGACCACUUUUUCAAAGUGCUCUGACAAAGUUAAAACAAGUGAAUCUUGCAGCUCCCACUACAUUACUAUGACCGAGAAGGGUAAAGGAACAACAUUACCACUCGUUAUUGGGACAAUUCCUAUAUAUGUCGACCUUCAUCCUCCACAGCCAGGUAGACCUGCAAAUAAAAAAAAUUCUUAACUUUUCUUCACAUCCGAGAGGGCACUUUCAGCAGUCUCUCGAAAUACUCAACUUCUUUUCCCCCCCGAUAAUACCUCUGCAAACAAGCCACACCAUAGCAAGAGUAUCUCAUAUCAUCAGGGUUAAAAGCAAAAGUAUACCAUAUCAUGAUUUUCCAUGUCUUUUCCUUUGGCCUUGUUCUUACCUACAAGAUAAGGAGAAAAGAGCAAUCGGUCAGCACUUAGAAUCAAGCUUCCAGUCAGGAACUGACUGCCUGGAACCCCUUGCCUGAUUACUUACCUGGCAUUGCUCUCGAGUACUCAUCUUCAACAUCUUAUGCUUCCAGAGAAGAUAAUGCAUCUGCCUGAGGAACUGAUAGGGCAAGUGAGAAGGAUACAAGGAAGCAUGUGGAGCUAAACGUAACAGAACACGUGCCGAUACAUCCACUACUGUGUCAACAGCAAAAGUAUCCCAUAUCAUCAGGGUCGAUCGUACUCUAGAUUUGAUAGACUUGUUUUGACUCUCAAAUUCUUGAGUCGGCCUUAUACUCUGGAGGAAACCAGAAAACCCUCCAGCCCAGUUUAAGAAUAAGCCUGUGGAAAGUUACUUCUUUAAAAGCAAAAGUAUCUCAUAUCAUCUCUUCUCCAUUUGCUUCUCCUUAUCCUUGUUGCUGUUUAUGACACAAGGAGAAAGAGAACAAUCAACCGGAAGCCGAAGUCGAACCUCCGAUCCAGGUUGCUUGCUUGGAAGUCUGAUUGCUUACCUUGUUUGUUACCUCCUUUGGCAAAUCUCCUAGCUCGACGACUUGGGGGACUCCUACUAUAGGGGUUGUAUCACACUUGUCCAAUCCCGAAACUAUAAGUAAGCUUCAAGUGAAAUUGAUACAUUACCUUAUGCAUCUUCAUCGGUUAAAGAUACCACCCCUGGAUGGAGGAAAAGUACUUCCAGAGAAGAUGCCACAUCUACAUAUGAGACAGAUAAGGCAAGUGAAAAUGAUACCACACUUUGGUACUUAGAAGUUUUGUGAUUACUCAAUGGCUUGGAUCUUACAAGUCCCUAACCGAUGAGCUUCCCUCACUCGGGAACUUAGGGGAGCACUAUUUGUACCAUACUUGACCAAUCUCGAAACUACUGAGCACCGGUCAACGUUAUACUGUCAAGGACCCAGAAGAGUUUCUCUCCAACCAGAAGGCCAAUCAUAGCGCGACACGUGUCGACAUCAGAAGCCAAUCAUAACGAGACCCGUGUCAACAUCUGAAGCCAAUCACAACACGAUACGUGUAAAUGUCAAAAUGAAACUAUAAACUCUCUUCUAUAAAUAGAGAUCAUUCUCUCACAAUAUUUCCUAAUGUCAUUUGUACUAAAUCAUUCACUAGUACUCUCUAAAGGAGAGCUUGAAGCUAUGCACUUGUGUAACCCUUCACAACUAAUGAGAACUCCUCUACUCCGUGGACGUAGCCAAUCUGGGUGAACCACGUACAUCUUGUGUUUGCUUCCCUGUCCCUAUCCAUUUACAUACAUAUUCACAUUAGUGACCGGAGCAAUCUAGCGAAGGUCAUUAACUUAACACUUUCUAUUGUACCAAAAUCCUCACUGAUUUUGUGCAUCAACAUGUGUUAUUAUUAACAUUUCAAAAAUCUUAUUGUGCGUCCUACUAUCAAUUUUUUCAUUUUAAAUAUACAAAAUUUUGAAGUAUACAAUGAGAUAUUUGGAGUCCCGAUAACAACUCCAAUUCAAAAUAUAUACUCAUAUUUGGGGUAGUUCUAUCCUCCACCUAAUAUUGUUAGAAAUGCUUCCUUAUUUGAAUAAUGGAAACGGAAGUACUAGAGGUUUCGCUCUUUAAUGCAUCCUUUAAAUCGACCACACUUUUAAAUAUUUUCAUGUGGCAUCGCAUGAUUGAUUUUGAAACCGCCACCUUAGCAUACGUAAUGCAUCUCUCAGCAGAGAUGCCACGUAGCAACUCGAUUGUUGUGAAGGUGAAGAAUUGGAUUAGGAUUUAGGAUUGAAUGAGAAUUCUUCAGAUAUAAUAUUAGGAAACAUUUUUGUUCACCACCCUUAACUAUAGGGUAUGCUCAUCACCCAUCUAAUAGCUUUGACAUGUGUCAUUUGACUUAACUAUAGUUAGUUUUUAAUUAAUUAUAUUAAAUGAGAUAUGGUGCACUUCACUCAAGGAGGCCAAAUUUUUGGGGUGUUACUAUCCCCACCCCCUUAUUUACUUCUCACACAUUCGUUGUUAAUUUAUGUCCUUUGAUCGCCAUCACUUCAUCCGUUCCGACAAUCGAAAAUUAAGUUGGUGAGUGCUACUUGGGUUUUUGUUGAUUUCUGAAAGUAUGCUUUUAUAUUACCAUUGGAUUAGUUUUUGGUGACUUUUGAUCACUCUAUUAAUUGGGUUUUCAUUUCAUGACACUACAACAAAAUUGGUCUUUUGCUGUGCACAAAGAGCGUCGUAAAUGGUUAUUUACAGCUUUCCAUUAUAAAAGUGUUUUGGCCAACGAUUAAAGUCGUUGGAAAUGUUAAUAUUUAAGGAAGAUAUGGUGAUUUGUUGAAGGGGAAUGAAAUUAUAAACUAUGAUUACGGUUUGCCAUUAUAAUGAGAAUGGUGGGUGAAUAUGAAUGAAAUUAUGGAAUGAAAUUUUUGAAUUCAUUUAAUAUAAAUGCUUUCCCAACUGAGUUUCUUCGUUUGAUGAAAAUAAUUGACGGGAAAGGUUGAUAAUUAUAAACUUGAUUGGUUGGUUUACCAUUAACGCAUUAUGGUAUGAAAUUCCGAUAUUUUGUUAGCCACGUUAGUCAUGGCUUGAGAUUUGGCAUGUGACUUUGUCAAUGUGAGAUAAGUUAGUUCUAUGACUGAGACUAUCUUUAAAUUGAUACAUGAACUGGUUGCAUAAUCUGUUUUGGUGAGAAAUUGGGAACAAAUUGGUUGAAUGUGACAUGUUGACUAAAGUUUAACCCUUCAUUUGUAAGAAAGAAAAUAACUGCUGCCAUGAUAGCUAUUCUUGAUUCAAGGAUUGUUUUCACAACUUUCACAUUGAUACCUAUGAUCUCAUUCCUUGUGUAGUAAAAUAUGACAUAGGUAUGCUCUAAAAACAACACUAAAGGAAUGUCAAAAUUUGUUUUUGAGCAAAAGUAACCAUAUAACAGAUGAUAUGGAAAUAAUUUGAGUCAAAUUUGAUCAAUGACUCAUAAUUCGGUUCAUUUGUGAUCACUUGGUAUUCUUCUUUCCAUUACCUAGUGAUGUGAUUGGAAAUUCCAAUAAUUUUGGUUGGAAUUUUGGAACUUGAUUUGUCAAUUUUAAUCGUUGGUUGAAAUUUUAAUAUUCAUUUAGCCAACAAGACUUACGGCUUAAGGUGGAUAUUAUUUUGCAAGGGAAUGUGGCUAGAAAUUUUGAGAAAGAAUCGUAGUUACGACUAUGUAUAGCCAAUGAUGGUGGAUGGUUUACCAAUGAUUGUAAUUAUUAUGUUAGUAUAUGUCUAACCAAUAGUAAAUGUGAUUUGAUAAUUUAGUAAUUAUUUUAAGUUAUGAAGACUGCGGCUUGAUGUUUGAUAAAUAUUUUGUCAAAGUGUAUGGCUAGAAUUUAUAAUAUUUAUUAUGCUAAUAAAUGUUGCUGGGAAUCUGAGUAUACGGGUGAGAAUCAUGAUGAUCUAUCUGUUAAUUUAUUUGUUUUGAGUUGAAUAAACUCGUAGACUGAGGUUAUGAUCUUAUUCACCUUAAAUGGAAUAAUGGGAAAUGCUUGUAAUUACAAAAAUUGGUUGGUAUGGUUGCCAGAAUUAUGAGUAUAUUGAUGAAUUCUUGUUAGUAGUGCCAUUCUUUGUGAUUGUGCAAAGAUUGGUGGUGAAGUCGUGCUGAGACGAUGAUAAUUGUAUUUGUGAGUUGUGAUUCAAUGUUGUCGAGCUUGAUGUUAAUUAAAUUUGAUUAUAAUUAAAGAGUAAAUGCCAUUUCAAAAUUGUCAUUCGGUUGAAUUGUGGCAUUGGUGGAUAUGGAAUUGAUACUAAAAUUUCGAGGAUGAAAUUUUUUUAAGGGGGGAAGAAUGUGAAAUCUCAUUCCUGGAUUUCAUUAUUAUAAUCUACGUAUUGGUAUUAUAGAGAUUUUAUAUUAUUUUUCGAGAAAUUAAUUAUUUAAAAUCCGUAGACCAUUUGAGGUCACAAUUUAUAUUGUUGAUAUCGAGAUCACAAAUGCAUAGGCGAAAGCCGUUUACGAGUCCGGAUUAUAACGGUAUAGUUACGGACGUUUGAAGUUGUUGCUAAAAGAAAAUGAAUGAAAAGAGAAGAAAAAACCACAGGAGUGGCUGAAAGAAAGAAGGAAAAAAAAAAAAAAGCCACGGGAGUUGCGAGAGAAAAGGAGAAGAAGAAGAAAAAAAAAAAGGGAACAUACCCCCUCUUUUCGCCAAUCAUCACCUGAAAUCACCACCACACUCCUUCUCCUUCGAUAUUCAUUCAAGAUUGGACGAAAAUUGGGUUGAAUUUGGUGAAACUCGCACCAGUGGGUGCAAGGGUUCCUUGUCUUCAAUCCGCCAUUUUGGAAACGAUUUCCUUCGAUCUCCACCACCAUUGGACUCCCCUUGAGCCUUGGAACAAACACUAGUACAAAAACAUGUUUGCGCGACGCAGCAAAUUUCGUCGCGCAAAGUAUAUUUGCGUGACGCUAAACACAAAACGUCGCGCAAACAGACUUUGCACGACGAAGGCUUGCGUCGCGCAAAGGCUGUUUGCGCGACAUUUUAUGUGUUGCACAAAAUUUUGGCGCCAAACCAUCCCAACUUUAUGUGACGCAGGUGCACCUACGUCGCGCAAAACAGCUUUGUGCGACGUAAUUGAACCUACAUCGCACAAAGCUGUUUUGCGCAACGUAUGUGGUGUCGCGCAAAGUCGACGACUUUUUUUUUCUAAAAUAACCACACAUAAGGGCCUUUUUCUUCACACUCAACCUCUCUCUUUCAGACUCUCCAUCUCUCUCAACCUUCACCAUCUUCACCUUCAAGAAUUGUAUUUAUUUGAUUAAUUAAUUAACUAUUUAUUGAUUACAUGUAUGUUUGGAUUUUUUUUAUUUUUGUGUGUUUAUGUUUUUCUUUAAUUAUCUUUGUCAAUGCUUAUUUUUAAGAAGUUGAGUUUUGGUUUUGAACAAUUGAAUGAGUAGAAUGAAUGACUAGGAGUAUGAAGGAUUUUGAUAGGUUUAGGGAAACAAAAGCUAAGAAACUGUAAGCUGCUAAGUUAACUUGAUCUAAUUUAGGGAUAGAUUGAUGUGUGCUAAAAAAUGAUUUCAUUUCUCACCAAAUUGGGAGGAGGAAACUAGAAUGUUAGAGAUUUAGAGAAGAAGCCAGUUUAUAGCUUUGUGAAACCACUAUUCUAUUACGUGGUUAGCAAUCAUUUUAGGUGUAGUCUCUACCCUUUACGAUUUUGAAUACGUGGUCUCAUCAUAUAGGUCCUUAAACAAUAAUUUUAAGGCAGGAGUGGAAGAGGUAUACAAUAAGUUAAAACUGUGGAACAUAGGAAAAUAAAAAAUAUAAAAAAAAAAACUUUGCGCAACGCAUGUGUACCUCCGUCGCGCAAAGUUUUUGUUUUUUUGUUUUUUUUUCCUUUUGCUUUUCUUUUGGGGUUCUUGCAUUGCCUUUUUCUUUUGUGGUAGCCACUUGUGUAAAUAUUUUAAAUUGACGAUCGAAUUAGUUCCUUGUAUUCAUAUAGGAUCCAAGAGUGUAGCUGUAAAAAAUCAUCAAAAUCGAAGUUAAAAUAACCGUUAACUCGUGAUUUUUUUCUUUUAUAACCGUCGAAAGGUUUUGUCCCUUUACUUGAUCUCUAAAGGUUUGUUUUUUACCAUUUUUGGCGUAUGCGAUCUCAAAGCAUAUACAAAUAAGUUUGAUGAUUGGAUCGUUGACACUGGUUUUGUACGAUGUGUAUCCCAUUAAAACAAUAGAUUCCCUAAUACUUAUAUUUUAUUUAUACUUUCAUCAAGUAUAACAUAAGAUUUUGUGGUAUCCCCUUGUGUAAAUGUUUUAAAUUGACGAUCAAAUCAGUUCCUUGUAUUCAUAUGGGAUCUAGGAGUGUAGUUGUAAAAAAUCAUCAAAAUCGGAGUUAAAAUAACCGUUAAAUCUUGAUUUUUUUCGUUUAUAACCAUCGAAAAGUUUUGUCCCGUUACCUGAUCUCUGAAGGUUUUUUUUGCCAUUUUUGGCGUAUGCAAUCUCAAAGCAUAUACAAACAAAUUUGAUGGUUGGAUCAUUGAAACUAGUUUCGUACAAUGUGUAUCCCAUUAAAACGAUAGAUUCUCUAAUACUUACAUUUUAUUUAUACUUUCAUCAAGUAUAACAUAAGAUUUUGUGGUAUCCACUUGUAUAAAUGUUUUAAAUUGAUGAUCGAACCAAUUCCUUGUAUUCAUAUAGGAUCCAGGAGUGUAGCUGUAAAAAAUAUCAAAAUCAGAGUUAAAAUAACCGUUAAAUCGUGAUUUUUUCGUUUAUAACCGUCAAAAAGUUUUGUCCCGUUACCUGAUCUCUGAAGUUUUAUUUUCUGCCAUUUUUGGCGUAUGUGAUCUCGAAGCAUAUACAAACAAAUUUAACGGUUGGAUCGUUAAAACUAGUUUCGUACAAUGCGUAUCCCAUUAAAACGAUAUAUUCUCUAACACUUAUAUUUUAUUUAUACUUUCAUCAAGUAUACCAUACGAUUUUCCGGUAUCCACUUGUGUAAAUGUUUUAAAUUGACGAUCGAACUAAUUCCUUGUAUUCAUAUAGGAUCCAAGAGUGUAGCUGUAAAAAAUCAUCAAAAUCGAAGUUAAAAUAACCGUUAACUCGUGAUUUUUGUUUUAUAACCGUCGAAAAGUUUUGUCUCGUUACUUGAUCUCUGAAGUUUUGUUUUUUGCCAUUUUUGGCAUAUGCGAUCUCAAAGCAUAUACAAAUAAGUUUGAUGAUUGGAUCGUUGACACUGGUUUUGUACGAUGUGUAUCCCAUUAAAACAAUAGAUUCCCUAAUACUUAUAUUUUAUUUAUACUUUCAUCAAGUAUAACAUAAGAUUUUGUGGUAUCCACUUGUGUAAAUGUUUUAAAUUGACGAUCGAAUCAGUUCCUUGUAUUCAUAUAGGAACGAGGAGUGUAGUUGUAAAAAAUCAUCAAAAUCGGAGUUAAAAUAACUGUUAAAUCUUGAUUUUUUCGUUUAUAACCGUCGAAACGUUUUGUCCCGUUACCUAAUCUCUGAAGGUUUGUUUUUGCCAUUUUUGGCAUAUGUGAUCUCGAAGCAUAUACAAACAAAUUUGACAGUGGGAUCGUUGAAACUAGUUUCGUACAAUGCGUAUCCCAUUAAAACGAUAGAUUCUCUAACACUUAUAUUUUAUUUAUACUUUUAUCAAGUAUAAAUAAGAUUUUGUGGUAUCCACUUGCGUAAAUGUUUUAAAUUGAUGAUUGACCCAAUUCCUUGUAUUCAUAUAGGAUCUAGGAGUGUAGCUGUUAAAAAUAAACAAAAUCGGAGUUAAAAUAACCGCUAAAUCGUGAUUUUUUCGUUUAUAACCGUCGAAACGUUUUGUCCCGUUACUUGAUCUCUGAAGAUUUUUUUUUUCCAUUUUUGGCGUAUGCGAUCUUGAAGCAUAUACAAAUAAUUUGACAGUUGGAUCGUUGAAACUAGUUUUGUACAAUGCGUAUCCUAUUAAAACAAUAAAUUCCAUAACACUUAAUUUUAUUUAUACUUUUAUCAAGUAUAACAUAAGAUUUUGUGGUAUCCACUUGUGUAAAUGUUUUAAAUUGACGAUCGAAUCAAUUCCUUCUAUUCAUAUAGGAUCCAUGAGUGUAGUUGUAAAAAAUCAUCAAAAUCGGAGUUAAAAUAACCAUUAAAUCUUGAUUUUUUCGUUUAUAACCGUCGAAAAGUUUUGUCCUGUUACCUGAUCUCUGAAAGUUUGUUUUUUUCCAUUUUUGGUGUAUGCGAUCUCGAAGCAUAUACAAACAAAUUUGACGGUUAGAUCGUUGAAACUAGUUUCGUACAAUGCAUAUCCCAUUAAAACGAUAGAUUCUCUAACACUUAUAUUUUAUUUAUACUUUCAUCAAGUAUAACAUAAGAUUUUGUGGUAUCCAUUUGUGUAAAUGUUUUAAAUGGGUGAUCGAACCGAUUCCUUGUAUUCAUAUAGGAUCCAAGAGUGUAGCUGUAAAAAAUCAUCAAAAUCGGAGUUAAAAUAACCGUUAAAUCGUGAUUUUUUUCGUUUAUAACCGUCGAAAAGUUUUGUCCCGUUACUUGAUCUUUGAAGGUUUGUUUUUUUUCCAUUUUUGGCGUAUGCAAUUUUGAAGCAUAUACAAACAAGUUUGACAAUUGGAUCGUUGAAACUAGUUUUGUACAAUGCGUAUCCCAUUAAAACAAUAGAUUCCCUAACACUUAUAUUUUAUUUAUACUUUCAUUAAGUAUAACAUAAGAUUUUGUAGUAUCCACUUGUGUAAAUGUUAUAAAUUGAUGAUCGAAUCAGUUCCUUGUAUUCAUAUUGGAUCCAGGAGUGUAGUUGUAAAAAAUCAUCAAAAUCGUUGUUAAAAUAACUAUUAAAUCGUGAUUUUUUCGUUUAUAGCCGUCGAAAAGUUUUGUCCCGUUACUUGAUCUCUGAAGGUUUGUUUUUGGCCAUUUUUGGUGUAUGCGAUCUCGAAGUAUAUACAAACAAAUUUGACGGUUAGAUCGUUGAAAUUAGUUUCGUAAAAUGCGGUAUCGCAUCAAGUUCAAUAGUAUAUAUAUUUAUUAAGUAGAUUUAAAUUUAUUUAUGUUUUACAUAUAAUACUUAAGAAAUUGAAUGAUAUGUAUAUUUAUUAAGUAGCUACCAAUUUAUUAGUCAGGUUUUUGUUAGUAAAAUAUAUUAUUAUGGGUUUUAUGUAAAAAUAAUUAAAUUUGAAGUGAGUAAAGUCACAUUUUUAGUAAUUUUUAUAAUAAUUUCUUUUAAAGAAAAAAUACCUUGUGCGACGCCUUUAUGCUCGCACAAAAACACUUUGCGCGACAUCGAAUGGUAUACCUACGUCGCGCCAAUUUUGAAUAUUUUGGCACAAGUGUAAAAAAUAAGCGCCAGUUUUGAUAAUUUUGGACAAAAUCUUCCCAGACCCCUUCGCUCUUCACGCCCUCCUCUUCUUCCCAGACCCUUUUUCUCUCUCUCUCACUUGGCCUCUCUCUUCCGUAGCCUUCCUCCUCUUCGCUCAUCACACCCUCUUUCCCGUAGGCUUCCUCCUCUUCGCUCAUCACGCUCGAACCCCAAAUCUUGAACCCCAAAUUGCACCAAUCUCGAACCCACUGUCGGUUGUCUCUCUCCCUCUUAUUCUAAACGACGGGCAGCCACCACCCCCUUCGUCGUGCUCGUCUCUCUCCUUGAAAGUAAGUCUAAUUACAAAUUAUGGAAUUGUGAAAUUAAGGAUUUUGAUUGUGAAUUGAGAUGAAUUUUAGAAUUUAGGGUUUUAAUUUGGGAUAAAUUACUAGGGCAUGGGAUGGAUUUCAAGGUUUAAAAAAUUGUGAAUGGGAAUUAGGGUUUUAAUUUUGAAAUGGGGAUUGAAUCAGGUUUUUAUUUGGGAUAAAUUAUUAGGAAAUGGGCUAAAUUUCAGGGUUUAAGAAUUUCUCUCUAUGUAUGUUAAUAGUUAUCGUUACAGUUUAAGAGACUGGAAUCAUUGUAGCCGUUCAAGGCCAAAAACUAACUGAAAUAGCUGUCAUGAUCGAUACAGGGGAAUUUGGUUUGUAUUUAUAAUUUCUGUCCUGGAUUAUGUUAGGUUGAUUAUGUGUGUGUUAUCAUUGCUUCAAGAAGAUUGUGUUAAUAGUCAAAAAAUCGUGAGCAUAGUACAAUGAUAUCUGCACUGUAUGGGUAGGAGAAUUUAUAGAAGGAAUGAGGGUUCUAGAUAUCAUUAAAAGGCCAUUACAGAUUCUUUUUGACAAUACUGCUACAGUUUUCUAUUCUAAGAACAACAAGAGGUCUUCAGGAACCAAGCACAUGAAUAUCAAGCACAGAUUGGUCAGGGAAAAGGUCAAGACAUUUACAUUGGUUCAUUAUUUAUGGAAUUAAUUUCGAGCUUUGAUAUGCUGAGUUAGUAGGAGUAUGAAAUGGUUAUAGUUCGAGUUAAAUAAGCUAGUUUUCUCACAGAACCUUAAGUUAUAGUUUGUUUCUAAAUGGUUUGAAUUCAUGCAUUUAUCUUCAUUGUUAGUCGUUUUUGUCUAGUUUUAAUUACAUGUCUUGUUUGGUGAAUAUAUCUAUAUCUGCACUUGAUGAAAUUACAGUUAACCAUCUUAGUAAAAGGUUCCUCUUUUAAAUUGCACUUGUAAUUACCAUACCAAAAUCUUACAGUGGAAUCUCAACAUAAAAAACUGAGAUAAUUUGAUUAUCCCCAAGCCCCAAACGCCCUCCCCACCCCCUUCGCCUCUUUUGUGCUCCUUUGGCUCCUUUUUGGUCGUUUUGUCUCUUCAUACUUUGGUCAUGUAUUCAUAUAUUUCUGGUACAUUGUUGUAGGUGAAUACACACCUCAUGCCCCGCCCAAUAUUACUUACUAGGCAUGGAGAGAGUAAGGAUAAUGUUAGAGGCAGAAUUGGAGAAGACAAUCCUUUGAGGUUUGUCUUUGCUGUUGAUUAUCUUGAUUAACAACACUGGUUUAUUCAUGUUAAAAUAUGCAAAGUAUAGUAACCGCUCAAACUUAUCUGAUCCUUAAUUAUUUUCUCGUUUUUUUACACUUAAGUAUGCUGCUAUUCAUGUUUCUAUUUGCUAACAUACAAUGGUGUUGCUCCCGCCACAGUUUCAUUUCAGUCUAUUAUACAAUUUGGUUUUGCCUCAUUAUAAGACCUAUUCCUUUGAAGGAAGAAGUGACAACCCUAAGGGGUCAGCUUGCGGUCCAUGGCGAGCAGGUUGAGGAGAUGAAGGCCUAUGUCGGGCACAUGAGAGAUCUUGUACGAGCCAUACAGAUGUCCGACCUCCAAAUCUCGCUACCAAUACCUAAUCUUGCUACAUCUUCAACCUUCGAGCCAUUUCACUCUGCCAAUACCCAGUAGCCAUUCCACUUAGACAAUUACUUGUAGUUUUUUCUUUUUUUGUUCAGACAUCUUGUAUGUAUAUUUUCAUAUAUUUUAUAAUUAAAUAAUUUUCUUUGGUUAAUUAAUUAUUGUUUAGAAUUUAAUUACAAUAUUAUUAAAAAUUAAAAAAAAAUAUUUUUGACCAAAACAAAAAAAGGGGUCUCUUGUGCGACAUACGGUGCGUCACGCAAAGAGGCUUUGCGCGACACAUCGUACGUCGUGCAAAGUGGCUUUGCACGAUGCAGGACGUGCGUCGUUCAAAGCAGCUUUGCGUGACGUAGGGGCAUGCGUCGCUUAAAGCCUCUUUGCGCAACGCAUGUUACUUCUUCAUCACGCAAACCUUACCGUCAUUGCUUUGGCACGACGGUUAGUGCGCGACGAACGUGCGUCGCGCAAACCCUUAGGCAACAAUUUUUGACUUUGCACGACGAAGUACCUACGUCGCGCAAAGUGUUUUUUCUACUAGUGAAAGCCCAAUCAGUUGUAGGGGUGAUGAAACACCAAGGAGAUCGAAUUGAAGCACAUCCAAUUUCUAGGGUUUCGGCGGAUUCGUCGUGAAUUGAGGUGUUUCUCGACCAAAUUCAGGUUUAACCCUUCACUUGUUAAUUAAAUGUGCUUUUUAUUAAAGUGUUAUUUUAUUUUUAGCAUCGAUCUAUGUUUAUUAAUUCUGAUUCGACUAUAGCUUGGAAAUGUUUAUGAAAUGUGGUUAGAUAUGUAUGAUCAGUAUGAUGUGUAUGAUUGUUUUUAGGACGAUGUGAACCCAGAAUCUUAUGAGAAGUAUUAUGUAUAACUUUCAUGCUUGUAUGAUAAAAUAGUUAGUGGUCAUGAGAAGUUGAUAGUGCAAGUGAUUCCGUUGAGUAAUGGUCCGGAAUCGUAUCCUUGUUUGGAUUCCGUUGAGUGAUGGUCCGGAAUCCCUUCUACUUUGCUAUUCCGUUGAGUGAUGGUCUGGAAUCAUAUCCUUGUUUGGAUUCCGUUAAGUGAUGAUCCGGAAUCCCUUCUGCUAUGCAAUUCUGUUGAGUGAUGGUCCGGAAUCGUUUCCUGGUUUAGAUUCCGUUAAGUGGUCCAAAGUUGCAUCACUUGACUUGUUGGUUUCUUGGAUUUGAGAUGUAGGCUUGGCUUAACUGUAUCACUCUAGCCUUAGUUUUAGAAUAUUUGUGAGCAAUGGUUUUGAGAAUCUUAUGAAUUGAAUUAGAAAAGUUGUUGGACGUUUAGGUGACUCAUUCAGGAUUUCCUAUGAUUCGAUUAUGAUUUCAUAAAGUAUGAAUUUAGAAGAUAUCGUUAUAGUUGUUAUUAUUUUGGACAAAUUAGUUAAUUAAUGUGGCUAGAGAAUUGUAUUGUGCUUCGUUGGUUCCUUGAUAUGAUAUGUUGUUAAUUGCAGUAUCAUGUUGUGACAUAAUGACUUAUAUAGAAGAUUGAAGGGAAAUCAUGAUUUUCAGGUGGGUUUGUUAUGUAACCCUGAGUCUAGUAAUUUCAUCCUUGUCAAGUUCUAUUGAUUGAUUGAGAAAUGUUAUGCCUUUCGGCUUAAACGGACUGUGACAUAUGUCAAUUAUAGUGCAUGACGAACUACGAAUGGCUUGAUCCCUGUUUAGGGUACAUAGGCAAUCUAACGAGGAGGUUAGAUGCAACCAUAAAGCAUACAAAAAAUUACUAUGCGAUUCGAUUAUCGAAUUAUGCUCUACCCAUAUCCGGGAGGCGGGGUAUGAUAGAUACGAGUAUUAGGUGACGUCACGUGUCGAUCCUAGACGUAUGUCGGGAUCGGGGCGUGACAGAAGUUAUGAACAGCUCUGAAAAUACAGAGUGGGGUAAGGCUAUGGAUGAAGAAAUGAAUUCUCUUGUGAAGAACAACACUUGGGAGUUAGUUCAAUUGCCUCCCAGUAAGAGAGCUAUUGGCUGCAAGUGGGUGUAUACUAAAAAGAAGGUCGUCCAGGAGAAGACAGUGUAAGAUUCAAAGCACGAGUGGUAGCAAAAGGAUAUGAACAAAAGGAAGGUAUUGAUUAUAAUGAAGUAUUUUCUCAUUUUGUGAAGCAUUCAUCUAUUUGUAUUAUGUUAGCCUUUGUUGCACAAUUUAAUCUUGAACUAGUGUUAAGACAACUUUCUUACAUGGAGAUCUUGAUGAAGAAAUUUACACGUCUCAGCCUAAUGGGUAUCAGGUAACUGGAAAAGAGAAAUGGGUUUGUAAAUUGAAUAAGUCUUUAUAUGGAUUGAAGCAAUCUCCAAGACAGUGGUAUUUGAAGUUUGACGAAUUCAUGAGAGGUCAACACUAUUUAAGAAGUCAAUAUGAUCAUUGCGUUUAUUUCAAAAAGUUGCAAAUGGGUCUUUCAUUUAUUUAUUACUCUAUGUUGAUGAUAUGUUUGCAUCGAAGAAUGUUAAGGAGAUUGAAAAGUUGAAAGCACAGAUGAAGCACAAUUUUGAGAUGAAAGAUCUUGGUGAAGCGAAAAAGGUACUCGGUAUGGAAAUUACUCGUAACCGAGAAAAAGGCUUGGGGUAUCUUACACAAAAGCAAUAUUUGUGUAAAUUGCUUCAAUGUUUUGGUAUUAAUGAUGCCACCAAACCUGUAAGUACUCCAAUGGCUCUUCACUUUAAGUUGAGUGCUUUGUUAUCUCCAAAAAACAAUGAAGAGAAGCUGCAGAUGAAGAAUAUUCCAUAUUCUAAUUUGGUUGGUGGCUUGAUGUAUACUAUGGUAUGUUCUCGACCAAAUAUUGCUCAUGCCGUUGGUUUGGUUAGUCGCUAUAUGCACAAUCCAGGAAAAGAACAUUGGCAAGCAGCUAAGUGGAUUCUAAGAUACCUACAUGGGACUAGAGACGUCGACUUAUGUUUUCAGCGAAGUGAUAG
rnacentral:lncRNA from 1 species